rnacentral:rRNA from 1 species
GACACGGACCAGACUCCUACGGGAGGCAGCAGUAAGGAAUAUUGGUCAAUGGGCGCAAGCCUGAACCAGCCAUGCCGCGUGAAGGAUGACGGCCCUAUGGGUUGUAAACUUCUUUUGUACGGGAAAAAACCUCUGGUCGAGAAUCAGAGCUGAUGGUACCGUAAGAAUAAGCAUCGGCUAACUCCGUGCCAGCAGCCGCGGUAAUACGGAGGAUGCAAGCGUUAUCCGGAUUCAUUGGGUUUAAAGGGUGCGCAGGCGGAAUAAUAAGUCAGCGGUGAAAGCCUACAGCUUAACUGUAGAACUGCCAUUGAUACUGUUAUUCUUGAGUGUUGUUGAGGUAGGCGGAAUGUGUCAUGUAGCGGUGAAAUGCUUAGAUAUGACACAGAACACCGAUCGCGAAGGCAGCUUACCAAGCAACAACUGACGCUCAUGCACGAAAGCGUGGGGAUCAAACAGGAUUAGAUACCCUGGUAGUCCACGCCGUAAACGAUGAUCACUCGAUGUUGGCGAUACACAGUCAGCGUCUUAGCGAAAGUAUUAAGUGAUCCACCUGGGGAGUACGGUCGCAAGAUUGAAACUCAAAGGAAUUGACGGGGGCCCGCACAAGCGGAGGAGCAUGUGGUUUAAUUCGAUGAUACGCGAGGAACCUUACCUGGGCUCGAACGUGGAAUGACAGUCGCGGAAACGUGAUCUUCUUCGGACAUUCUACGAGGUGCUGCAUGGUUGUCGUCAGCUCGUGCCGUGAGGUGUCGGGUUAAGUCCCAUAACGAGCGCAACCCCUAUCUUUAGUUGCCAUCAGGUAAUGCUGGGGACUCUAAAGAAACUGCCUACGCAAGUAGUGAGGAAGGCGGGGAUGACGUCAAAUCAGCACGGCCCUUACGUCCAGGGCUACACACGUGCUACAAUGGCCGGUACAGAGGGCAGCUACCUGGUGACAGGAUGCAAAUCUCCAAAGCCGGUCUCAGUUCGGAUCGGAGUCUGCAACUCGACUCCGUGAAGCUGGAAUCGCU